ensembl:snRNA U4 U4 spliceosomal RNA
AGCUUUGCGCAGCUGAGGUAUCGUGGCCAAUGAGGUUUAUCCGAAGCGCCGUUAUUGCUAAUUGAAAACUUUUCCCAAUACUCCGCCUUGACGACUUGCAAUAUAGUCGGCAUUGGCAAUUUUUGAUAGUCUCUACGGAGA